UUUUUUUUUAAUUUCUCUCCACGUUCCCAAAUGUUUUAUUUCAAAUAGCAUCAUUUUCUCCUGAAAAAUACCUGAAAAAUUUUAGAACAGUUUUUAUUAUGCAUAUUUAUGAUGAAAGUUUGUAUCUUAAUGUAUUUGCUUUCUCAUUUUUCUUCCUUUUUUUUCUUUUAGAAAUAUUCAAAUUUUAAAACAACAAUUAAGUGGAUUAUGGGAACAGGAAAACCAUCUUACUUUGGUUCCAGGAUAUACUGGUAAUAUAGCUAAGGUCCUCUGCGUGUAACUGUGACCUUGGCAGCAAGCACAGGAAUUGGCCAUUGAACAUGUUUCAUGUACAGCCCCUGAAAUGCUAUGCUAGAGGAUAUUUACAGAGGGUUUUAAUCAGAGAAAAGUAUUUGAAAAAAUUUUGAGAAUCCAAUAAGGACAGCAUCAGAAAACAAGACGAGGAACUCAGGAAACAAGGGAUAAGAAACAUAAUUAAAUGGUUUUGGAGAUUAAGUUUUACUUUUGCUAAUGUUAUGCUUUUUGAGAAGGUAAACUAUUUAAAUCACAGUGAAUUUGACUUUGGUCUUUAUUGAUUUGUCUCGUAAAGGAAAAAGUAAAAAUUGCUAGUUUGAAUUUUAAUAUUUAAACUCCAGAAAACAUUGGUAGUUAGGCCGGGCACAGUGGCUUACGCCUGUAAUCCUAGCACUUAGGGAGGCCAAGGCAAGCAGAUCACCUGAGGUCAGGAGUUCGAGACCAGCCUGGUUGGUGAAACCCCGUUUCUACUAAAAAUACAAAAAAUUACCUGGGUGUGAUGGCACGUGCCUGUAAUCCCAGCUACUCGGGAGGCUGAGGCAGGAGAAUCACUUGAACCUGGGAGGCGGAGGUUGUGGUGAGCUGAGAUCGUGCCAUUGCACUCCAGUUUGGGCAACAGAGUGAAACUCCGUCUCAAAAAAAAAAAAGAAAGAAAAAACAUUAGUAGUU
rnacentral:lncRNA from 1 species